rnacentral:hammerhead_ribozyme from 1 species
AUCCAAUUGACGAGUCCCAAAUAAGACGAAAUACUAGUCCUGGAU